GCACAUUGUUCAUCAAAGUGUGCAACUACGCUAGGUUUCAUAAAAAUACUGAGCUCAAAAUCACAGUGAAAAAAUUAAGUCUGGUAUAACACAUCACAAAAAAGGAUCCACCGCCAUGCCCCUCGGAACCACUCGUUAAAAAAAAAAUAUGAGUUGCAUAUUAGAAAUCAAAAUGUGCAGCUGGCCAACUGAGCUAGAUCUUUUAAAAAUUUUAGCUAAAAAAUCAUAUUGAAAAGUAUUGUGAGUGGAGUAACACAUUACAAAAUUGGUCCGCGUGUUGUCCCGCUGCCAGCACCUUUUUGAAAAAUAAGAGUUGCACAUUGUGCAUCAAAAUGUGCAACUACGUUAGGUUUUAUAAAAUAUUGAGCUAAUCACGUUACAAUUAAAAUGGGUUGUAACACAUCACAAAAACAGACAUGCCGCCCUGCCCCCCAAACCACUUCCCAUUGAACAAAAAUAUUAGUUGCACAUUAGAAAUCAAAUUUUGCAACUAUACAAUUUAAUGUAAUUGCACAUUGUAAUAACCCAAAUUGGACAAAAAAACAAAUGUACAACUUACUUAUACAAGCUUCCUUCAUAACAGGACAUUUUUUUUUUCAACAAGGCUGCUAUUAGAAAAAAAAAGAGGUAUAGAUGGAAAACAAAUGAAAACUUCCAUAGUAAUAAGAACACAUGCACAAUCAAGUGGAUUCAUUUGUGGAAGAAGGUGCAUAAUGGAAAAAAAAGUUCACAUAUCACAGUCAUAUCCGUAGUUGCACAUUAUACACCCAAUGCCUGGACUGCUAGGGGAAACCUCCCUGAGUGGGUCGAAAUUGAGAAAUAAAAAAAGCCCAUAUCAGCCCAUAACUGAGAAGUCCAACAAAGACACAAAUCAGCUUUAGGCAACAAGCAACAGCCAAAAGAAACAGUACUCCGUAGAAGAUUCGUGCACGACUUGAUGUG
rnacentral:lncRNA from 1 species